rnacentral:rRNA from 1 species
UACGUAGGCAGCAAGCGUUGUUCGGAGUUACUGGGCGUAAAGGGUGUGUAGGCGGUUCUUUUAAGUUUGCUGUGAAAUCUCCCGGCUUAACCGGGGGGGUGCGGUGAAUACUGAGGGACUAGAGUACGGGAGAGGAAAGUGGAAUUCCUGGUGUAGCGGUGAAAUGCGUAGAUAUCAGGAGGAACACCGGUGGUGUAGACGGCUUUCUGGACCGUAACUGACGCUGGAGAACACGAAAGCGUGGGUAGCAAACAGG